UUUUAGGUCUUUUGCAACCUUGGUGAUUCUAUGAUUCUAUGAAUUUGCAAGUGGGAGCUGUGCACGGGGACAGAGCUCUGCAAUGGAGAUGGAGCUAUGUAAUGGGGAAGAAACUGCAGCGCAGAGGGAACCACGCACUGAAAAAGCUGUGCAACGACCGAUCCGUGCAGUGGCUGAUCUUUGCACCGGGGACGGAGCCACGCUGUGAGGAAGGAGCCGUAAUGGAGCAAUCCUUGCAAUGGACAGCCAGCCGUGCCCAGGGGAGCAGCACAGCGUGAGGAGUUGUGCCGUGGGGCCGUGCAGUGGGGCAGCCCCUGGCCGUGCAGCCGUCCCCACACCGUUCCCACCCCGCCAUGCCUGGCUGGGCCGCAUUGGGCCAUGCGGUGGAAACACAGCUGGGGGUGGGCGGCCCGCCGUCACCCCACCGUGACGGGGAGCAGGAGGCCGUGGGUCUGUGCCGCGCCCCGUGGAGCCCCGCGCCUCCAUCCCGGCCCUGCAGCUCCACGUGAGCCCGCAGAGCCCCGCAGCACGGCGCCCGCUGCGAGCCCUGCGCCGUCCCCAACCUGCCAUGCCACCACGGGUCAGCACGGUGCGGCACUGCGACAUCACGGCCACGCUGAGAGCCCCCCGCCCGGCCUUCUGCGUGUGUGUGUGUGUGUGUGUGUGUGUGCGUGUGCCACGUGCGGCCAACCCCCCACAAAAGGCCGCGGGGCGGAGGGAGGAGGCGGAACGUUUUGGCAGCGGAACGUUCGUUCCGGGGCGCUGUGUUCCCGCCGGAACUCGCUCGGAACGGAGCGCCCCCUGCGCACUGCCGGCGCCGCCAGAAUCACUCCAAAAGAAGCUCUGCUGGCAGGAUGCUGCUCUCCCUGCUCUCCCCCCGCGUGAGCUGGCCUGCACGAUGCCUCCUCUGUGACUUGCACCGCUGGGGGCUGCAUGGGCAGAAGAAGGCUGACUCUCCCCGCAGAGGUGUGCAAACCACAUGGACAGCCAGCAGCCACCACGUCAGCCCUGUCUUCACGAGGGCUUUGACUUUCGGUGAUAAAGUCGCCGUUGUUGACCAAAAUGGUGAGCACACAUACAAGGAGCUUUUCUGCCAGAGCCUCCGCUUGUCCCAGGAGAUCUGUAGAGUCCUGCAGUGCUCCAGCAGGGACUUGAAGGAGGAGAGGAUCUCGUUUUUGUGCCCCAAUGAUGCCUCGUAUGUGGUUGCCCAGUGGGCUUCCUGGAUGAGUGGAGGCAUAGCAGUUCCCCUUUACAAGAAGCACCCUGUGCAGCAACUGGAGUACGUGAUUGAGGAUUCGCAGAGCGCUCUCGUCAUCGCAACAGAUGAAUAUGUGGGGAAAAUAUCCCCCAGUGCUGAGAAGCUGGGAGUCCCAGUGCUGCCAUUCAGGUUUCGUAGCAAUGGAUCUGCAGAUCAUACAGCAGUGGAAGAUGUGCCCUUGGCAUCCAGUGCUUCCUGGAAGGACAGGGGAGCCAUGAUAAUCUACACGAGUGGGACAACGGGGAGACCAAAGGGUGUCCUCAGCACCCACGAGAAUGUGCAGGCGGUGACCACAGGGCUGGUUGAAAAAUGGGAGUGGAAGAAAGAAGAUGUUAUUCUGCACGUGCUGCCUUUGCAUCAUGUCCACGGGGUGAUCAAUAAGCUGCUCUGUCCUCUCUGGGUGGGAGCGACAUGCAUCAUGCUGCCCGAAUUCAGCGCGCAGAUGGUUUGGAAGAAGUUCUUGAGCUCCCAGGCUCCCCGUGUCAGCGUCUUCAUGGCAGUGCCCACUAUCUAUGCCAAGCUGAUAGAAUACUACGACGAGCAUUUCUCUCAGCCCCAAGUGCAGGACUUUGUGCGUGCCUUUUGCCAGGAGAACAUCAGGUUGAUGGUGUCAGGCUCUGCAGCACUGCCUGUGCCCGUCCUGAAGAAGUGGAAGGCCAUCACUGGGCACACGUUGCUGGAGAGGUAUGGGAUGACAGAGAUUGGGAUGGCACUUUCCAACCCUCUGCAUGGAGUCCGUGUCCCAGGUUCUGUUGGGACCCCACUGCCCGGGGUGGAGGUGCGCAUUGCCUCCGAGAAGGUGAAAGGUGGUGGCCGUUCCUACACCAUCCACGCUCAGGGAGAUGAACACGGCACACAGGUGACUCCGGGUCUGGAAGGGCAGGAAGGGGAGCUGCUGGUCCGUGGCUCCUCGGUGUUCCGUGAGUACUGGAACAGGCCUAAAGAAACCAGAGAGGCUUUCACACCCGAUGGAUGGUUCAGGACAGGAGACACAGCAGCCUACCACGAUGGUGUUUACUGGAUCAAGGGCCGCACCUCGGUGGACAUCAUCAAGAACGGGGGCUUCAAAAUCAGUGCUCUGGAGGUGGAGCGGCAGCUGCUCGCACACCCACACAUCACAGACGUGGCCGUCAUCGGACCCCCGGACGUGGUGUGGGGGCAGCGGGUCAGCGCCGUGGUGCAGCUGCGCAGGGGGGAGAUGCUGUCGGUGAAGGAGCUGAAGGAAUGGGCCAGGGACACCAUGGCCCCCUACGCCAUCCCCACUGAGCUGAUAGUGGUGGAGGAGAUCCCACGCAACCAGAUGGGGAAAGUCAACAAGAAGGAGCUCCUGCAGCGCUUCUACCCGGCGUAGUGCGCAGCCUGGGAGCCCCAUCCUCUGCCCCGAGGGCUCUCCGCUCCUCAGCGUGGAAUAAAGCCCCCAAAAAUGAGAUGGGUGGACACGCAGCAACCACAAGGGAAGGGCAGCACAGCAAGCAACAAUGGGGAGAGACAAGGUCACCGGAGAAUAAAUCGCAGCGAGAGCUCUUCAUGAUCCAUCAUCCCCGACAAGCCCGGCACCCAGCGCCGGCGCCGUGACAAGAUCAUUAAUAAAACUCCAUAGGAGCGCGAUCGAUCGCUUUGAUGGAUGAUCACAGGUAGCAAAUAGUGCAGAACACCUGGUUGUCACCCUGCAGUGAGGGGCUCACACGGCCUGGGGGUGCCCCGUGGUCCCUGUGGAUGGGGUUGGUGAUGUGAGGUCCAUCUCCAUGCCCACUGAGCGAGGCAGAGUUUGGUGCGUGGAGCACCAAUGUGGGGAUGUGUGUCCCAAAGCCACGUGCUCUGCUCCCCCCACAUUGGGGGUGCAGGGCUGCGUGCAACCCCCCCUGAGUCUCCCAGCACUUCACUUGCCAGCCACGUCUGCAUCGACGCUCCCAUCAUAUGUACACAACCACUCCAUUACGUGUGGUGGCCAUGAAGCCAUCCAUCUCCUUCACGGGGGGCUGCAGGGGUGUGUGGGGUGGCAGCAGGACGGUGGGUGGGUGGGAGCAGACAGACAGAUGGGGACAGGCCAGUGAGUGCCAGGGCUGUGUGGCACUGUGUCCCCUCAGCCACCCCCAGCCCUGCUACCCCCAGGCUUCACUGUAUGGGGGCAGAGGGCAGCCUUCGUCCCACGUCCCCUCUCACAUGUCCCCAGCCUGUGUCCUAUGUCUCAUGUCCUUCUUCAUGUCCCAUGUCUCACAUCCUCUGUCCUAUGUCCUAUGUUCCUUGCCCUGUCCCCUGUCCCUGUUCCCUGCCUCCGUGCCCCAUUUCCCACCCCCCAUCCCACAGAGCUUUGCAGCAGAUGCCCUGUGCAGGGGGAAAGGGGGGGUUGAGUGUGGUUAGGGCACUCUCAAAAGCGAGAACUCCACUCCAUGUCACCAAAACGCCGCAUCUUCCCCUGCCAGGGACAAAGGCCAGGGGACACGGCCCCUCUGCCCAGCCCUGGGGAGGGGGCAUCGGCUGCAGCCCGCCCCCCCCGGUCGCCCCCGCCGCUCCCGCUGCGGCCCCCCCUGGGUGCGGGGACAGCGGUGGCCGGAGCGAUGCUGCCACCUGGUGCCACUACCUCACCGAGCUGUGGGGAUGGGAUGGGAUGGGAUG